rnacentral:rRNA from 1 species
UACGGGGGGAGCAAGCGUUGUUCGGAUUUACUGGGCGUAAAGGGCGCGUAGGCGGUCAGCACAAGUCAGUUGUGAAAUCUCCGGGCUUAACUCGGAAAGGUCAACUGAUACUGUGCGACUAGAGUGCAGAAGGGGCAACUGGAAUUCUCGGUGUAGCGGUGAAAUGCGUAGAUAUCGGAAGGAACAUCAGUGGCGAAAGCGGCUUCCUGGACCAGCACCGACGUCAGGCACGAAAGCGUGGGGAGCAAACAGG